AUUGAACGCUGGCGGCAGGCCUAACACAUGCAAGUCGAGCGGAUGAAGGGAGCUUGCUCCUGGAUUCAGCGGCGGACGGGUGAGUAAUGCCUAGGAAUCUGCCUGGUAGUGGUGGAUAACGUCCGGAAACGGGCGCUAAUACCGCAUACGUCCUGAGGGAGAAAGUGGGGGAUCUUCGGACCUCACGCUAUCAGAUGAGCCUAGGUCGGAUUAGAUAGUUGGUGGGGUAAAGGCCUACCAAGGCGACGAUCCGUAACUGGUCUGAGAGGAUGAUCAGUCACACUGGAACUGAGCCACGGUCCAGGCUCCUACGGGAGGCAGCAGUGGGGAAUAUUGGACAAUGGGCGGAAGCCUGAUCCAGCCGUGCCGCGUGCGUGAAGAAGGUCUUCGGAUUGUAAAGCACUUUAAGUUGGGAGGAAGGGCAGUAAGUUAAUACCUUGCUGUUUUGACGUUACCAACAGAAUAAGCACCGGCUAACUUCGUG
rnacentral:rRNA from 1 species